GCUCGGGCGCGCCGUCGGUGGCCGCACUCGAUCCCGCCCGGGGGCGCCUCCCCGCGGAUCGGGUCCCGGCUACCGGAGUCGCGCCCGCGGCCCCACG
rnacentral:misc_RNA from 2 species